UCUAGGCUCAGUUGUAGACUUGUAAAUCUAUGCCUUAGUUUUGCACAUCUUGCCUUGCUUGAAAGCUCAUAUGAGUGUUUUGAUAAACUGAUUCAGAACGAGUUACAUGCUAAGUGUGUGUGAGAUUUUACUUGCAUUAUGUGCUUGCAUGCGAUACCUAGAACUUGCCCUGUGUGUUUUCAACGCGAAAUAGAAGUUGUUUGGUUUAGAGAUGAUUGAGGCAUUUCUUUUUGUAAGUUUAUAUAUAAUUGUGAAUCCACCUAUCUAUAUUGCCAUAGUCAACCCCUUUGAGCCUGAAGCCUGUUCUUUGAUAACCCUAUAAUGACCUAUAUCCUUGUGUUUGAAUAGAUGAUUGUUUGAACCUAUAUCUCCUAGAAGCACUUGAAUCACUAAAGAACACACAAAAGCUAAAGUGUGGGGUGGUGGGGAG
rnacentral:lncRNA from 1 species